CUGGGUGAGGCAGGCAGGAGGCCGGGCAGGGGCAGGUAGGAGGCUCUAUGGAGCCUAUCUGGUCUAGAGCAUGGCCUCAGCCAGUGCCUCGGAGAGCAUGGGACAGAGGCCAAAAGAAAGCCUUGAUAAAACCAGAGGUGCAGGGCUUUGGGCCAAAACCCUGGCUCCAGGAAGUGACUGGAGCCUGAAGGAAGUGAGGCUGCCCAGGAAUCCCUAGUUCUCUCAGCUCCUCUUCAUCUGAACUCACUCUGGUUUGUCCACAUCCCUCCGAAUAAGACAGACAGCCACCAUCUUUUCAUGGAGACUCUGCUGCUCUAACAACUUAUGACCACUUCCCCAAGAGGUGCAGAUUAAGAGAAAGGCUCCAGUGUUGAUCCCACCACUUUUUCUCCUGCUUCUGGCUUGAAUUCUACAUGAAAAAGAAGUCUGAGCAAACCUUGGGAAACCCAGAAGUAAACCAUAAAAGAAAUGCCAGAUUUUCCUAGAUUUUUAAAUACCUGUUCUUACUCAACAGCAUGAGUUUCUGUUUCUGAGAAACAGAAUAAAGAAAACCAGUGACAGAAAAAGAAAUGGAUGAAAUUUUGCUUCGCCUUCCAUUCUAGUCCCCAACUUUAAUUAGACACAUUCUAGACAUAAUGCUCUGCUGGGCUUCCCCUAACUACAAAGUAUAAGCAAUUAUCCUCCAUAUAAAAGCCUCUUCACAUGUGAAUAAUAAAUAUUUGUUCACUUCUCCAAUUCUUACCUUAUGUGAUUAGACAUCUGUGGUAUGUUUACAGAGAUACAAC